GGGGGUAUAGCUCAGCUGGGAGAGUGCUUGACUGGCAGUCAAGAGGUCAGCGGUUCGAACCCGCUUAUCUCCACCA
rnacentral:tRNA from 1 species